rnacentral:tRNA from 3 species
GGAGAGGUGGCCGAGUGGUCGAAGGCGCUUGAUUGGAAUUCAAGUAUACGGUAACCCCGUAUCGUGGGUUCGAAUCCCACCCUCUCCGCCA